UCUCUGAUUUUACUGAACCGAUUUACCUGAACAUUUUACAGACUUUUUUAAAAACUUUCUAUGUCUGGAAAAUUUCCAAAAUUUAAAUUUUUACAAUUUUUAAAAAAUUCUAAAAACCCAAAAAAGUGGUUCAAAAUAUUUUUCGGACUAUUUUGUAAAAAAAUCCGACUUUUCCGCAGAAUUAAGACAUUACGACAUUAUUCUAGAUUAAUGAUUUUUUUGUGUUCAGAUUGCUGGGAUGACAAUUAUUUUACGACACUUCGAAAAUUACCUGAAAAUGCAUACCUUUAGACUAGAAUACUCUCUUAAGCAUAAAUUCGUAGUUUCUACCAGGAGCAAAUAACGCGGUAGAGGGGGUAUCAGCGACUAUUUUCAUCGAAUAACUUCUCUAUUCAUGGACCGAUCGUGAUCGUUGACGGCUCUAUCAAAAGGUAAACGCUUGGUACAAGUAUCAUAUGUAUAACAUGAAGCGAUUUGGUUAUUUGGUUCUUUUAUAUUCAAAGAAUAAAAUGAAAAUGAGAACACUUGGUACAAGUACCCUUUAAUUUUGGGGCCGAACCGGUUACUCAUUUGAUUAUUUUUACUAUUUUCUUUGUAGUAGCCUCUGAACAGUAUUCCAAUUGAACUGCAGCGAUUGUUAAAUUUAGUUAAAUCAACUGUUUAUUUUACUGCGUUGUAGGUAGACAAAACUUAUGUACUAUAUAUCAUUAUUAUACUGCAAUCAUUGUAGUCACCAGAUAAAUGGGAUGUUAUUCAAUUUUAAUAAAAGUACAGUUAAUAAUGGCGCAGCUGUUUUGAUUAUUCGGAGUUCCCAAUUCAGUAGUUGAGGCAACUUACUUCCUUAAAUGAUCCAUAUUCUAUACUUUUAGUAGACAGUUCGCUGUUGGACAUUGGAUUUACGGUCGUCGCUCACAUCUACAGAGAUAAAAUGCAUAAUAUUAAAUUUUUACUGGCUCUACUGUGUGUUUUGGGCAUAACUGCAGUUAUAGCUCAACCUGGCUGCCAGCCGCGCAUAUAUAGCGUUUCGGCUGGUCAAAGAAUUUGUGAACGCCAAUGUCUUACGGGACCAGGGUCCACCGCUAGUUUGCGUUGCGCCACAGCGCGUAUUCCGACCACUGUUAGACUCUGUCCGCCGAAUUGCUGUCGUCUGGGUUCGGCCUGUCGGUGGGUUUAUCAAACUUGAAUGAGUUCAGCGGGAGCAAUGAUGAUAAAAGAAUUAAAUUUUGACGUUUUUAUUGCGCAAAUGAUAUCCUUAUUCAUUCUAAAAAUUCAUUUUAUAUCCUUUAAAUAUAAUCUGUUGAGUUUUUCUUGAAAUAAAUAUUCCUUCAAAAUCGUUAUCCCA